GAUGAACGCUGGCGGCGUGCCUAAUACAUGCAAGUCGAGCGAACGGACGAGAAGCUUGCUUCUCUGAUGUUAGCGGCGGACGGGUGAGUAACACGUGGAUAACCUACCUAUAAGACUGGGAUAACUUCGGGAAACCGGAGCUAAUACCGGAUGAUAUUUUGAACCGCAUGGUUCAAUAGUGAAAGACGGUCUUGCUGUCACUUAUAGAUGGAUCCGCGCUGCAUUAGCUAGUUGGUAAGGUAACGGCUUACCAAGGCAACGAUGCAUAGCCGACCUGAGAGGGUGAUCGGCCACACUGGAACUGAGACACGGUCCAGACUCCUACGGGAGGCAGCAGUAGGGAAUCUUCCGCAAUGGGCGAAAGCCUGACGGAGCAACGCCGCGUGAGUGAUGAAGGCCUUCGGAUCGUAAAACUCUGUUAUUAAGGAAGAACAUAUGUGUAAGUAACUGUGCACAUCUUGACGGUACCUAAUCAGAAAGCCACGGCUAACUACGUG
rnacentral:rRNA from 1 species